rnacentral:pre_miRNA from 1 species
UCCAGGAGCAGGUGAGCCACUGACUAACGCACAUUGUGCUCUCGGUGACUCCACUGUGCGUGUGACAGCGGCUAACCUGCUCCUCGGACAUCCCCGG